UACAGAGGGUGCAAGCGUUAAUCGGAUUUACUGGGCGUAAAGGGCGCGCAGGCGGCUUAUUUUGUCAGGCGUGAAAGCCCCGGGCUUAACCUGGGAACUGCGUUUGAUACGGAUGGGCUAGAGUUCGGGAGAGGAGAGUGGAUUUCCCAGUGUAGAGGUGAAAUUCGUAGAUAUUGGGAAGAACACCGGUGGCGAAGGCGGCUCUCUGGACCGAGACUGACGCUGAGGCGCGAAAGCGUGGGGAGCAAACAGG
rnacentral:rRNA from 1 species